rnacentral:rRNA from 1 species
AAUGAACGCUGGCGGUAUGCCUAACACAUGCAAGUCGAACGACCACACAGUAAGCUCUUUCUCCUACCGUUAGCGGCUGACGGGCGAGUGACACAUACAUCACCUUCUUCUUUUUCUUGGGUGAUUACGUAAAGCCACUUCCGCUACUACCUCAUAUGUCCUACCGCUUAAUUCAGUGGAUCUUCGCACUUUUCCCGUUUCUAUUAGCCGAUGUCGGAUUAGCUAGUUGGCUGGGUAAAGUCCCACCAAGGCAACGAUGCGUAGCUUAUCUGAGAGGAUGAUCAGCCACACUGGAACUGAGACACGGUCCAGACUCCUACGGGAGGCAGCAGUAGGGAAUAUUCGGCAAUGGGCGAAAGCCUGAUGGAGCAACACCGCGUGAGUGAAGAAGGUCUUCGGAUCGUAAAGCCCUGUUAUUAGGGAAGAAAAGAAGUAGGAGAAACUAUGGACGUCUUGACGGUACCUAAAGAGAAAGCAACGGCUAACUUCGUG